rnacentral:rRNA from 1 species
AGGAUAAACGCUGGCGGCGUGCCUAACACAUGCAAGUCGAACGUCUCUUCUUUCGGGAAGAGGAGUGGCGGACGGGUGAGGAACACGUGGGAACCUGCCCUUUAGUGAGGAAUACCGGCGAGAAAUCGCCGACAAGACCGCAUAGCCCUCUUUGAUGAGAGUCAAAGAAGGAAAGCUUCGCAAGAGGCGCUAGAGGAGGGGCCUGCGUCCGAUUAGCUAGUUGGUGGGGUAAGAGCCUACCAAGGCGUCGAUCGGUAGCUGGUCUGAGAGGACGAUCAGCCACACUGGGAUUGAGAACGGCCCAGACUCCUACGGGGGCAGCAGUGAGGAAUUUUCGGCAAUGGGGGAAACCCUGACCGAGCAACGCCGCGUGCAGGAGACGGCCUUCGGUGUAACUGCUUUCUCGGGACGAGCAAGGACGGUACCGAGGAAGAAGCCCGGCUAACUACGUGCCAGCAGCCGC